rnacentral:rRNA from 1 species
UACGUAGGCAGCAAGCGUUGUUCGGAAUUAUUGGGCGUAAAGGGUGCGUAGGCGGUUUGGUAAGUCUGAUGUGAAAUCUAUGGGCUCAACUCAUAGUCUGCAUCGGAAACUGCCGGGCUUGAGUGUGGGAGAGGUGAGUGGAAUUCCUGGUGUAGCGGUGAAAUGCGUAGAUAUCAGGAGGAACACCUGUGGCGAAAGCGGCUCACUGGACCAUAACUGACGCUGAUGCACGAAAGCUAGGGGGAGCAAACAGG